GACGAACGCUGGCGGCGUGCUUAACACAUGCAAGUCGAACGGAAAGGCCCUGCUUUUGUGGGGUGCUCGAGUGGCGAACGGGUGAGUAACACGCGAGUAACCUGCCCUUGACUUUGGGAUAACUUCAGGAAACUGGGGCUAAUACCGGAUAGGAGCUCCUGCUGCAUGGUGGGCGUUGGAAAGUUUCGGCGGUUGGGGAUGGACUCGCGGCUUAUCAGCUUGUUGGUGGGGUAGUGGCUGACCAAGGCUUUGACGGGUAGCCGGCCUGAGCGGGUGACCGGCCACAUUGGGACUGAGAUACGGCCCAGACUCCUACGGGAGGCAGCAGUGGAGAGUAUUGCACAAUGGGCGGAAGCGUGAUGCAGCAACGCCGCGUGCGGGAUGACGGCCUUCGGGUUGUAAACCGCUUUCGCCUGUAACGAAGCGUGAGUGACGGUAAUGGGUAAAGAAGCACCGGCUAACUACGUG
rnacentral:rRNA from 1 species